ensembl:lncRNA
CAGGCAGCCAGGACCAGCUCUUUUUGCUACAGAUAAAGGAUCCUGAUUAUGGAAGUUUCCUGAGAUGAAAUUAAAAGGUGUGAAAGCCAUACAAAUGGCAAAGGAGACUGGAUGUGUACCAAUGCCUACCACUCACACUCCAAUAGGACUCUUAAGAAGCAGUAAGCCAGAAACAGAAUAAAAGGCACAACAACCUGGAAACACUAGCAGCUGCCCUCAGAACUCACAAGCACAUGUGUAUCAUCCUGCCAAGCAAGCUAAAAGGAAAAGGAGGCAUCCUCCUCUGGAACAACACAAUCAUCUUCAAGAAUUACCCUUUUGGUUCUCUAAGAACCCAUCACCUGGAAUCAGGCUCUUCAUCAGAUUCAUAGAUCAUUGUUUACCUUCGAGGUACACAAAAUGGCCAUCCCACACCAUCAAGAAAGAAAUGACAUACUGUCAUUCCUACAUGAACCCAAUGGCAUGUACCAAAUUAUUUUUUCUACCAUGACGUCUUUCCAUAGCACCCUAGGUUUUAUUCCCCUAUCCCUUGGAGGCCAGUGUCAUUCUGUACGGUAGGUCAUCUUCUAUUCAAUAUUUUAUUUUAUAUUUUUGCCCAAUAUUAAAUUUAAAAAGUAAAUAAGGCAGAAUUGGUAGGAGAAGAUAAUUCUCCAAUUUUUGUAUUUCUGAUUGUUGUUUGAGAUAUCUGUGGGAUCUUUGUACAAUAGCCUGCCCCUUGGAUUGUAAGAAAUGCCCAUAUUGUGAAAUUGUUUUAUGUUGUGCAUGGAAAUUUUUAUAUGCAAGAACUUCUCCGUCUUGAGGCAUCUGUGUUUCAACGGGGAAUGUGGCAAAACAGUGAACAGUAGAGUGGUUUGUAGCUUCCCUGUAUGAGCAGAGGCAUAAACACAAUAAGAGUAUAGGUAUCAACAGAAACAAAUUUUACUCUCCCAAAGGGUAACACAUGAGGAACAUCCAUCUGCCAAAGAGCAUUGGGAUGUAACCCUCUGGGACUAACAUACUCAUCAUGCAUGACAAGCUGGAAAGAAAAACAUUGGGCACGUUGCUUAAUUAAUUAUUUGCCUAAUCUACUCUCAGGAAAAGACAAAUUCUUUACAUGAAAAGGAAGACUUUUCAUAAUUAUAGAGUAUGCCUAUCAUUGUCUUUUAUCCCUGCAUAGCAACAGGCAAGCAGAAUAGGGACUAAGAACAAAGUGCCUGCUCAUGUAUUACCUUCAGCCAAUGACUGGAGAAGAAAUGAAUGUGACCAAAUAUGGCCAACAUAGCAUGCAUACUGACAGUGGCACAAGAAUUCCUAGGUCCUAUAAAAAAGAGGUUGUCUGACCAAUCUAGGCUCACAUUAUCCCU